UUGGAGGGCAAGUCUGGUGCCAGCAGCCGCGGUAAUUCCAGCUCCAAUAGCGUAUAUUAAAGUUGCUGCAGUUAAAAAGCUCGUAGUUGAAUUUCGGGACCAUCAUGUUGGUCGUGCCUCGGUACGUACUGGUAUUGUUGGUUUCUCCCUUCUGACGAACCAUGAUGUCAUUUAUUUGGUGUUGUGGGGAAUCAGGACUGUUACUUUGAAAAAAUUAGAGUGUUUAAAGCAGGCUCACGCUUGAAUACAUUAGCAUGGAAUAAUGAAAUAGGACGUUUGAUUCUAUUUUGUUGGUUUCUAGGAUCGACGUAAUGAUUAAUAGGGAUAGUUGGGGGCAUUAGUAUUCAAUUGUCAGAGGUGAAAUUCUUGGAUUUAUUGAAGACUAACUACUGCGAAAGCAUUUGCCAAGGAUGUUUUCAUUAAUCAAGAACGAAAGUUAGGGGAUCGAAGACGAUCAGAUACCGUCGUAGUCUUAACCAUAAACUAUGCCGACUAGGGAUCGGAUGAUGUUAAUUUUUUAAUGACUCAUUCGGCGCCUUACGGGAAACCAAAGUGUUUGGGUUC
rnacentral:rRNA from 1 species